rnacentral:rRNA from 1 species
AUUGAACGCUGGCGGCAUGCCUUACACAUGCAAGUCGAACGGUAACGGGCCUUCGGGCGCCGACGAGUGGCGAACGGGUGAGUAAUGCAUCGGAACGUACCUUUCAGUGGGGGAUAACGUAGCGAAAGUCACGCUAAUACCGCAUAUUCUGUGAGCAGGAAAGCAGGGGAUCGCAAGACCUUGCGCUGAUUGAGCGGCCGAUGUCAGAUUAGCUAGGUGGUGAGGUAAAGGCUCACCAAGGCGACGAUCUGUAGCGGGUCUGAGAGGAUGAUCCGCCACACUGGAACUGAGACACGGUCCAGACUCCUACGGGAGGCAGCAGUGGGGAAUUUUGGACAAUGGGGGCAACCCUGAUCCAGCCAUGCCGCGUGAGUGAAGAAGGCCUUCGGGUUGUAAAGCUCUUUCGGCCGGGAAGAAAUCGUAUGGGCUAAUACCCUGUGCGGAUGACGGUACCGGCAUAAGAAGCACCGGCUAACUACGUGCCAGCCGCCGCAGUAACAC